UUGGCCCCGCACAGAUUGAGCCGAGUUGUCGCCCCGCUGGGAGAAGUGACCCUCCUGCGCCUGGUCAAGUGUCUUGGCAAAUCUUCCUUUCUUCACGUAAGAUGUGUAUUGGCGGCAGCCGUGGGAGGUCCAGACACAGGUGGCCAUGGAACUCGCUGGUAAUAGAGGACACAUCUCUUAACUGGGUUGCUCUAAGAACUGAUGCCUAAACCAUCUCAGCAUGGCGUAUAAAGGAGAAGGUGGGCAUGGCCAGCCUCCCUCAGCUACACUGUCUCAGAUCAGAACACUGAGGCUCAGAGAAGUUAACUACUCCAAAGUCAUAUAGCCAGUAUUUUCUGGAGCU
rnacentral:lncRNA from 10 species